rnacentral:lncRNA from 1 species
CAACCAAGCACCGAACCCCCUUGUCCGGCCACCGUUCCUUUCACACCCUCGUCACCCCCACACAACCCUUCUCCUACCAACACCGUCAAACCCGCCCCCAACCUCAUUUCUUAGCCUUCCUCUUCCUACACGAGCCGUGCCAUCACUCACACACACCAGCCCUUCUCCCACCACAGCCUCGUCACCCUUCAUCACCAAAUCCCACCCCUCCAUCGAACAACCCAACCUUCUAUUUUUCCUUUCCCUUUCUCACCUCUGACCCUCU